rfam:Ornithorhynchus anatinus chromosome X5, whole genome shotgun sequence.
GAAUUUAAAGGAUUGCACCUGGAGAGUUUCCACUACUCUACCAGUCUUAGUUAUGGAAGGGGGAGUCAGGCAGAGGCAUACCCAUUCCAUUCCUAGCUUGGGCAGUGGCUAGUGAGUGGAAGGCAAUCUGCUACAAGU